rnacentral:rRNA from 1 species
AGUCGAGCGGAGCGCUUCGGCGCUCAGCGGCGGACGGGUGAGUAACACGUAGGCAACCUGCCUGUAAGACCGGGAUAACUACCGGAAACGGUAGCUAAGACCGGAUAAUUGGCUCUGUCGCAUGAUGGAGCCAUGAAACAUGGGGCAACCUAUGGCUUACGGAUGGGCCUGCGGCGCAUUAGCUGGUUGGUGGGGUAACGGCCUACCAAGGCGACGAUGCGUAGCCGACCUGAGAGGGUGAACGGCCACACUGGGACUGAGACACGGCCCAGACUCCUACGGGAGGCAGCAGUAGGGAAUCUUCCGCAAUGGACGCAAGUCUGACGGAGCAACGCCGCGUGAGUGAGGAAGGCCCUCGGGUCGUAAAGCUCUGUUGCCCUAGACGAACGCUUGGGAGAGUAACUGCUCUCAAGGUGACGGUAUAGGAGAAGAAAGCCCCGGCUAACUACGUGCCAGCAGCCGCGGUAAUACGUAGGGGGCAAGCGUUGUCCGGAAUUAUUGGGCGUAAAGCGCGCGCAGGCGGUUCAUUAAGUCUUCUGUUUAAUGCCAGGGCUCAACUCUGGUACGCAGGGGAAACUGGUGUACUGGAGUGCAGGAGAGGAAAGUGGAAUUCCACGUGUAGCGGUGAAAUGCGUAGAGAUGUGGAGGAACACCAGUGGCGAAGGCGACUUUCUGGCCUGUAACUGACGCUGAGGCGCGAAAGCGUGGGGAGCAAACAGGAUUAGAUACCCUGUAGUCCACGCCGUAACGAUGAGUGCUAGUGUUAGGGUUUCGAUACCCUUGGUGCCGAAGUUAACACAGUAAGCACUCCGCCUGGGGAGUACGCUCGCAAGAGUGAAACUCAAAGGAAUUGACGGGGACCCACAAGCAG